rnacentral:rRNA from 1 species
CCUGAGAAACCCAAAAGAUCGAAUGGGGAGAUUCAUCGUCAGCUCAUUUUGUAUAUGUAUAAGUUAUGAUGCGGGUUACUACUUGUAGUUAUUGCCUGCACAUUCUUGUAUAUUUAAUUGCAAGAUGUUGCCGGCGUGCACUUCUUUCCUAGUAGGACGUCNCGACCUGUUGGGUGUCGGUCUACGGCCCAAGUGAUANACUUUAAUGUAAUUUAAAGAUCCUUGGUGUUUUCUGACCGGCUACUUGGCAGUAUUCGUACGGUAUUUAGCCGCUAAAUAUAUUAAGCGUCUGUAUCCGUCACAAGCGAGGCUAAUUUACUAAUAGUACGGACCUAGUGCCGUCGUUGGUAUUAGCCAGCUGUUGGUUGUAUGGUAUUCUAGGACUGGCUA